UCCAGCAAUAGCCUCUAGUGGACAUGGCAUCUGCCCGGUAAGCGGAACAUUGUGGGUUCGAUUCCCAUCUCUGGAC